rnacentral:rRNA from 1 species
GACGUAGGGCGCAAGCGUUGUCCGGAUUUAUUGGGCGUAAAGCGCACGUAGGCGGCUUUGUUAGUCAGGGGUGAAAUCCCGGGGCUCAACCUCGGAACUGCCUUUGAUACUGCAAGUCUCGAGUCCGGAAGAGGUGAGUGGAAUUCCUAGUGUAGAGGUGAAAUUCGUAGAUAUUAGGAAGAACACCAGUGGCGAAGGCGGCUCACUGGUCCGGUACUGACGCUGAGGUGCGAAAGCGUGGGGAGCAAACAGG